rnacentral:lncRNA from 1 species
GCCGGAGAGUAAGGAGGAGCCGGGUGGAGGAAAUGCUUCAGAGAAGAGGAAACGUGCACGAUGCCCUUUUCCCAUCCCACGUGGCAAGAUGAAACGUAGGGCUCAGAGAUCACAAGGAGGCAGAGAGACAGGCAGAGAGAGAGAAGAAGGGAAGCAGGAUCCCUGCCCAGCAGCAAGCCCGAUGCAGGGCUUGAUCCCAGGACCCUGGGAUCAUGACCUGAGCUGAAGGCAGAGGCUUUAACCCACUGAGCCACCCAGGUGCCCCUUUACAUUUUUAAUGGUUGAAUAAAAUCAAAAGAAAAAUAAUAUUUUG